GGGUGCGAUCAUACCAGCUCUAAUGCACCGGAUCCCAUCAGAACUCCGCAGUUAAGCGUGCUUGGGCGAGAGUAGUACUAGGAUGGGUGACAUCUUGGGAAGUACUCGUUUUGCACCCC
rnacentral:rRNA from 1 species